rnacentral:rRNA from 1 species
AGCGAACGCUGGCGGCAGGCCUAACACAUGCAAGUCGAACGGAUCCUUCGGGAUUAGUGGCGGACGGGUGAGUAACACGUGGGAACGUGCCCUUCGGUUCGGAACAACUCAGGGAAACUUGAGCUAAUACCGGAUGUGCCCUUCGGGGGAAAGAUUUAUCGCCAUUGGAGCGGCCCGCGUCUGAUUAGCUAGUUGGUGAGGUAAAGGCUCACCAAGGCGACGAUCAGUAGCUGGUCUGAGAGGAUGAUCAGCCACAUUGGGACUGAGACACGGCCCAAACUCCUACGGGAGGCAGCAGUGGGGAAUCUUGCGCAAUGGGCGAAAGCCUGACGCAGCCAUGCCGCGUGAAUGAUGAAGGUCUUAGGAUUGUAAAAUUCUUUCACCGGGGACGAUAAUGACGGUACCCGGAGAAGAAGCCCCGGCUAACUUCGUGCCAGCAGCCGCCGCCUAAA